rnacentral:misc_RNA from 1 species
AAUUCUCAACCUUUUCAGCAUUUAUGUUGAUCAGGCUUGGAUGUGGGAGUUUGCGGGCUUCUCAGAAGUCGGCUCUCCUUAAAUACAUUAGCGGGACCUUUGUUGCCCAGCUUUAGUGUGAUAAUUAUCUACGCUAUCGUUGAGAGCGGCUUUUAAUGGGGUACAGCUUCUAAUGGUCUCAUUUGAGACAACUUCUGACA